CCACAAGUCUCUUUGUGUGGGUUUUCUCCUCAUAACGCUUGGCAGACUGAGACUUCCACGUAUGGCAUCAGUGCUGCUGUUAAGGUGUUUCUGGCAUUCUGGGCAUUCUGCACAACCCUCCAAAGAUCCUGUGGGCACAAAGGUCGCUUCUGAUGACGAUGGUAUUUUUAUAUUUAGCACCUCACCUGAAUUUGUUGGAAGCAAAUGUUUCCAGAAUUCUUGGAGCUGUUGUCAAAAAAACAAAAAAACAAAACACAAACAAACAAACCCACAAAUGUGCAGACUUCAGGUAGAGAAGAAUUGUGCUCCUUCUUUCAUAAUACCACAACCCAGGAUCAUCCAAUGAAGCUAAAUAUGGGGAAAUGGGAAUUCUUCACACCUUGCAUCAUUAAGCUAUGGAAUUCAUUGCCACAAUAUAUAGUGAUGGCUGCUAAGAGAAGAACACAUCCUGAAUCAGACAGUGCAUCCUUGGAAUAAGUGUGAUGUGCAACAUAAACUUAAAAUUGAGUUUGAGA